rnacentral:rRNA from 1 species
GACGAACGCUGGCGGCGUGCCUAAUACAUGCAAGUAGAACGCUGAAGGAGGAGCUUGCUUCUCUGGAUGAGUUGCGAACGGGUGAGUAACGCGUAGGUAACCUGCCUGGUGGCGGGGGAUAACUAUUGGAAACGAUAGCUAAUACCGCAUAAGAGUAGAUGUUGCAUGACAUUUGCUUAAAAGGUGCAAUUGCAUCACUGCCAGAUGGACCUGCGUUGUAUUAGCUAGUUGGUGGGGUAACGGCUUACCAAGGCGACGAUACAUAGCCGACCUGAGAGGGUGAUCGGCCACACUGGGACUGAGACACGGCCCAGACUCCUACGGGAGGCAGCAGUAGGGAAUCUUCGGCAAUGGACGGAAGUCUGACCGAGCAACGCCGCGUGAGUGAAGAAGGUUUUCGGAUCGUAAAGCUCUGUUGUAAGAGAAGAACGAGUGUGAGAGUGGAAAGUUCACACUGUGACGGUAUCUUACCAGAAAGGGACGGCUAACUACGUG